GGAGAUCUCAAGCCUCUCCUCGGCCUUAACCGAUGCUGAAAGCAUCAUACUGGUAAGGACCAAAGAGAAAAUCACAAACAAACCAUCACUGCUCUAUCAGAGCAACUCAAGGACACACUCAAGGAGCUGAGAGAGAAAACCAAGGAGAAAAAGGAGGCUGAACUAGGCUGGAAGAAAGAAAAUAAAGAGAGAGCUUUUGAGGAAGGAAAACUAAGAGACAAUCUUCUGAAGAGGGAUAAACUCAUAGAGCAAGUUCUUCUGGAGUUAGAGGAUCGUGACGGUGUGUUAACAGAGCUACAGCAAAAUAUCUCUAGCAGACUUGGACCCAAAAUAGCCCUCAAACACACACUGUGAGUGUGUGAUUAAACACAUAAUGUGAGUUCCAUAUACUGAACUUGAUAACUGCUCAAUAUAUUGUUAAUGGCACUACUUUCAUUGAGUGCAAUCUAAAACAAUAGCUCAGCUUCUAAUAAAGUUAAUUCUUUUAAAACAGUAAUUCUCUAUUUCUAAUUCUCUAAACAGUAAGUCAUGUCAACGUAUAUAGGUUGUGAAUAGUGCCAUUUGCAUGUUCAGCCAGAUUCUUCAAAACUAAACUUUUGAGAAAGUUGAGUGUAUAUUAUGAAAUGUUUUUUUUUUUUUUUUUUUUUUUUAGUUUAAAUGAAUUUAUGACUGGGCCAUUACAUGUAGCUUUAGGAAUUUAGAUUGCACUCAGACAUAAAAUGUUUGUUACUUCCCACACUUCCAGAUUGUGGUUCCAAGAUUUACAUGGUUGCACACACACACACGUGCCUUUCAGCACACACUUUGCUUAUUAAUAAUUAUUUUCAUAUACCACAAUCCUGGCAUUAUUAUUAUUACAUGUUUAAAUUGUUUUUUAUUAAUUAUGUAUGGAUAUGUUGAACGCUGCUUUUCUUGUUACUGUUUGAUUUGUCUUUCCCCAACGUGAUUUUCCAUGUGAUCUUAUAUUUGUUCUUUAUUUAUAAAUGUUUAGUUUGUUUUGGAUUAUGGUACAAACUGGGAUGUGCUAUAUUCAUUACAGUGUAGAGAAAACUUGUGCACAAUAGAAGGAUUUACAAGACUCUCUGGAAAGAACAUGUUUUAAACGGCUUAUUUUAUCUGAGUACGCUGAAAUCCCCAUGACUUGGUGCAUACCUCAUAAGUCACAUUUAAAAUGAAGCCUCAAGUUUGUGUGGGUUUUUUAAAGGUUUGUUGGAGGUUUUCUUUUAUGUAUGAAAUAUUAAAGGUUCGUCCUUGAGAACCUGGGGGUAUAAUUGACAAU